AUUGAACGCUGGCGGCAUGCCUUACACAUGCAAGUCGAACGGUAACAGGCCGCAAGGUGCUGACGAGUGGCGAACGGGUGAGUAAUGCAUCGGAACGUGCCCAGUCGUGGGGGAUAACGCAGCGAAAGCUGCGCUAAUACCGCAUACGAUCUAUGGAUGAAAGCGGGGGACCGAAAGGCCUCGCGCGAUUGGAGCGGCCGAUGUCAGAUUAGGUAGUUGGUGGGGUAAAGGCCCACCAAGCCAACGAUCUGUAGCUGGUCUGAGAGGACGACCAGCCACACUGGGGCUGAGACACGGCCCAGACUCCUACGGGAGGCAGCAGUGGGGAAUUUUGGACAAUGGGCGCAAGCCUGAUCCAGCAAUGCCGCGUGCAGGAAGAAGGCCUUCGGGUUGUAAACUGCUUUUGUACGGAACGAAACGGUCCGGGUUAAUACCCUGGGCUAAUGACGGUACCGUAAGAAUAAGCACCGGCUAACUACGUGCCAGCAGCCGCGGUAAAAC
rnacentral:rRNA from 1 species